GAAAAAAAUUAAAACAGUCUCCAUGACAACAAAUUUACAUCAAUCAUUCUAAACUUUGAAGUGUGAAUUCAACUAAAUAAAAUUUUGAAGUUUUCUUAUACAAAAAUGUCUUGUUGCGGCCCUUCUUGUUCUGAUCCUUGUUGUCCUAUUUUGAGUGGAUACUGUCCACCAUCCCCUUGUAUGGUUACACCCCCCUGUUGUCCACAAUCCUGUCCACCUGUACCAUGUGUUUAUGUCCCAGUAGUAACUCCAGCUGUUUGGCAAAUGGUACCCAAGCCACCGGAUUGUAAAAAGUGAUUUGUUUUUCCUCUGAAUAAAUGAAAUAAAAUAUUUGGAAAA